AUUGAACGCUGGCGGCAGGCUUAACACAUGCAAGUCGAGCGGGGUGAUGGUGCUUGCACUAUCACUUAGCGGCGGACGGGUGAGUAAUGCUUAGGAAUCUGCCUAUUAGUGGGGGACAACAUCUCGAAAGGGAUGCUAAUACCGCAUACGUCCUACGGGAGAAAGCAGGGGAUCACUUGUGACCUUGCGCUAAUAGAUGAGCCUAAGUCGGAUUAGCUAGUUGGUGGGGUAAAGGCCUACCAAGGCGACGAUCUGUAGCGGGUCUGAGAGGAGGCUCCGCCACACUGGGACUGAGACCCGGCCCAGACUCCUACGGGAAGCAGCAGUGGGGAAUAUUGGACAAUGGGGGGAACCCUGAUCCAGCCAUGCCGCGUGUGUGAAGAAGGCCUUAUGGUUGUAAAGCACUUUAAGCGAGGAGGAGGCUCUUUUGGUUAAUACCCAGGAUGAGUGGACGUUACUCGCAGAAUAAGCACCGGCUAACUCUGUGCCAGCCGCCGCCGUAAGAC
rnacentral:rRNA from 1 species